rnacentral:rRNA from 1 species
UACAGAGGGGGCAAGCGUUGUUCGGAAUUAUUGGGCGUAAAGGGCGCGUAGGCGGUGCGGUAAGUCACCUGUGAAAUCUCUGGGCUCAACUCAGAGUCUGCAGGCGAAACUGCCGUGCUUGAGUGUCGGAGAGGUAAGUGGAAUUCCCGGUGUAGCGGUGAAAUGCGUAGAUAUUGGGAGGAACACCUGUGGCGAAAGCGGCUUACUAGACGACAACUGACGCUGAGGCGCGAAAGCUAGGGGAGCAAACAGG